rnacentral:tRNA from 1 species
UCCUUGUUAGCUCAGUUGGUAAAGCGCUCCACUGGAAAUGGAGAGGUCCUUGGUUUCGAUACAAAGACCAGGAG